GAGCAAAAUUUUGCUAAAUUUCGGCCUCGAAAGUUUUGUGUGUACACACAAAACUUUCGGGGCUCCACUUAGCAAAAAUUUGCUGUUACUUUCCGUUAGCAAAAAUAAUUUUUUACUGUUGAGUUAGCAAAAAGCUAAAUUUACUUGAUUCUAGCAAAAAGAAAGUUCAUUUUGCUUGAUUUUAGUAAAAUUAAAGUUUUCUAGCCGCUUUGUGUACAGACAGCAGCCGCCGCCAGUUGGGGGAAAACAACAAACCAAAGUGAUCCAGUGCGGUUCCGGUAAUUCGAUGCUUGCGGUUCGUUUGGUGGCUGAUUCAACGACGAAACGGUGGCCAAAUCGACACCGGAUGCUGCAGGUUGCAACUGCCGGCAAACACGACGGUUUUUUUGCAACAGUUCGAAAUAAAGAGGGACCACUACUGGCAUGUCAACGCGCUGCAUCCGGCACAACUCAGAUGCAUUCAUUGAUGAGAGUCGACCUUUGGCAAUUUAACGAAAAGUGGUAAAUGAAGUUCCGAAAAACGUGAAAAAUAAAUUAAAAGUUAAGUUA